rnacentral:rRNA from 1 species
GACGAACGCUGGCGGCGUGCUUAACACAUGCAAGUCGAACGGAAAGGCCCUGCUUUUGUGGGGUGCUCGAGUGGCGAACGGGUGAGUAACACGUGAGUAACCUGCCCUUGACUUUGGGAUAACUUCAGGAAACUGGGGCUAAUACCGGAUAGGAGCUCCUGCUGCAUGGUGGGGGUUGGAAAGUUUCGGCGGUUGGGGAUGGACUCGCGGCUUAUCAGCUUGUUGGUGGGGUAGUGGCUUACCAAGGCUUUGACGGGUAGCCGGCCUGAGAGGGUGACCGGCCACAUUGGGACUGAGAUACGGCCCAGACUCCUACGGGAGGCAGCAGUGGGGAAUAUUGCACAAUGGGCGGAAGCCUGAUGCAGCAACGCCGCGUGCGGGAUGACGGCCUUCGGGUUGUAAACCGCUUUCGCCUGUGACGAAGCGUGAGUGACGGUAAUGGGUAAAGAAGCACCGGCUAACUACGUGCCAGCAGCCGCGGUGAUACGUAGGGUGCGAGCGUUGUCCGGAUUUAUUGGGCGUAAAGGGCUCGUAGGUGGUUGAUCGCGUCGGAAGUGUAAUCUUGGGGCUUAACCCUGAGCGUGCUUUCGAUACGGGUUGACUUGAGGAAGGUAGGGGAGAAUGGAAUUCCUGGUGGAGCGGUGGAAUGCGCAGAUAUCAGGAGGAACACCAGUGGCGAAGGCGGUUCUCUGGGCCUUUCCUGACGCUGAGGAGCGAAAGCGUGGGGAGCGAACAGGCUUAGAUACCCUGGUAGUCCACGCUGUAAACGGUGGGUACUAGGUGUGGGGUCCAUUCCACGGGUUCCGUGCCGUAGCUAACGCUUUAAGUACCCCGCCUGGGGAGUACGGCCGCAAGGCUAAAACUCAUAGGAAUUGACGGGGCCCCGCACAAGCGGCGGAGCAUGCGGAUUAAUUCGAUGCAACGCGUAGAACCUUACCUGGGUUUGACAUGGAUCGGGAGUGCUCAGAGAUGGGUGUGCCUCUUUUGGGGUCGGUUCACAGGUGGUGCAUGGCUGUCGUCAGCUCGUGUCGUGAGAUGUUGGGUUAAGUCCCGCAACGAGCGCAACCCUUGUUCACUGUUGCCAGCACGUUAUGGUGGGGACUCAGUGGAGACCGCCGGGGUCAACUCGGAGGAAGGUGGGGAUGACGUCAAGUCAUCAUGCCCCUUAUGUCCAGGGCUUCACGCAUGCUACAAUGGCUGGUACAGAGAGUGGCGAGCCUGCGAGGGUGAGCGAAUCUCGGAAAGUCGGUCUCAGUUCGGAUUGGGGUCUGCAACUCGACCUCAUGAAGUCGGAGUCGCUAGUAAUCGCAGAUCAGCAACGCUGCGGUGAAUACGUUCCCGGGGCU